CCUUGUAGCGGGGUCGUCUGCAGGAGAAUGAGCCCCAUUAAAACGACGCUCGCAACCUGCAGAAGCGUUCAAGUGUCUUCGACGGCGGGAGUGUUGUGACAAGUGCAAAACGUUUUGUCACUGUAUAUUUCCCCGUGCACUGUGAACUGCGAAAUACAACGAAUAACGAACACACACACA